rnacentral:lncRNA from 1 species
GAAAAGGGGAAAUGGAAGGGUACAGAAAGUGACGCACCCACCUGCCAAACUGCAGCGGGAAGCUGCCCCGGAUACGGUGGAAGAGCUUCUCGCCUGUGUCCAGCUCCACAUAGAAGUACGGCGUGCCUGGCUGCACCACCUGCGUGAUAUCCGAGUGCUCUGGGAUUUCUAACAGUUCAAUCUGUUGCUCCUGUGCCUGUGUAAUAAAGCACUCCUUAAUGUCUUCAGAAGUAUAGUCCAAUGGGACAGGAAUCACCUGUAACUGCAGAUGCUGACUCUUAUAGUUCCUUUCAAAUAAGACAUAUUUCUUUCCCUUGCUUCUGAAAAACUCCUUCAGGGCAGAUUUGUACUUGGUCACUUCUUCCAUCACCUCUGAAGACAAGUCAACCACCGAUUGGUAGUGCCCAAUAGGCAAAAUCAAGACAUGAUCAGGUAAUAGGCCG